UGAGCAACCUGCCCUUGACCCUGGAAUAACAGCUGGAAACAGCUGCUAAUACCGGAUACGACCUCCGAUGGCAUCAUCUGGAGGUGGAAAGCUCCGACGGUCAAGGAUGGGCUCGCGGCCUAUCAGCUUGUUGGUGAGGUAACGGCUCACCAAGGCUUCGACGGGUAGCUGGCCUGAGAGGGCGACCGGCCACACUGGGACUGAGAUACAGCCCAGAUCCGUAACGGG
rnacentral:rRNA from 1 species